UAACCAAGGUGUCACUAUACGGACUGC
rnacentral:piRNA from 1 species